ACAAAAUGAUUAAGGUUGCUUUGUUAUUGAAUGAUAAGUGUGGCUCAUUAUAUAGCCUUACAAUGGUAACGGGAAACAAAUAAAGUGCAGUAUUAUGAGGAAUCUCACAAUAUCAGGUAACAAUAUUCCUAGAGACUAGGACAACUCUAUAGACUAGGAGUUUUAUUCUAACAGAAAAGACUUGGUAAACAUCUUAAUUUAAGCAACCAGCUUCAUCAAUCCCUCUCUUAAACUAAAUGCAAUAGCAAUUAGUUUAUUCAUUCAAUUUUGCACACUCCCAGUUCUUCUCUAAGUUUCUGAAAUGUCUCCACCUUCAAAGCCUUCGUCAUCAAAUCUGCUAUCUGCUCUUGAGUUCUACAAUGCAGCAACUGAAUAAUACCAUCAUUUACUAAAUCUCUCAGGAAAUGGAACCUGACAUCAAUGUGUUUGCUUCUCCCAUGCAUUACUGGAUUCUUGGACAAUUUGAUCGUAGAACUGUUGUCACACCAAAUGGUGGUGCAUUCUUUCUGAGCAAGUCCUAAAUUUUCCAAGACCCUUCUCAUCCAAACUGCUUGACUUGCACAGCCUGCGGCAUCCACAAAUUCUGCCUCUGUAGUGGAUAAUGUGACUAUAGGUUGUUUUUUCAACAACCAAGAGACUGCUCCCGAGCUCAUUAAGAAGACAUAUCCAGAUGUGCUCUUUCGAUCCUCUACAUCACCUGCAUAGUCACUAUCUGUGAAUGCGCGCAACUCGUCCAUCCCAUCCCUUUUGUAUAGAAUGCCAAAAUUUGUUGUGCCUUGCAAGUAUCUCAGUAUUCUCUUAGCAGCUUGUAGGUGCAACUCGGUAGGUCUAGACAUAAAUCGGCUGAUCAAGCUUACACUGAACAUCAUAUCUGGUCGAGUUGUUGUGAGAUACAUUAAGCUCCCUACAAUUUGCUUGUAGUAAGAUUCAUCAACUUGUACUCCUUGAUCAUCCUUGUUUAGUUUGACACCUGGCACAAUCGGGUUGCUAACUGGAUUACUUUCUGCCAUACCAAAACGCUUCAGCACUUCUAUAGCAUACUUCUUUUGGCAAAUAAAAUUGCCAUUGGCUUUUUGUAUGACUUCUAUCCCAAGAAAGAAUCGCAUCUUUCCCAUAUCCGUCAUAUCAAAAACAUUCAUCAUUGAUGAUUUAAAAUCAUUCAUCAUGUCUUCAUCAUUACCUGUAUAUAUCAAAUCGUCAACAUAAAUACUCACAAUGAUCAUCUUGCCUUCUGCUCCCUUUUUAAUGAAUAGUGUGUGCUCAUUUGGGCAUGUUUCAAAGCCUUCAUCUUUGAAGUAUGCUGCGAUACGACUAAACCAUGCUCGUGGGGCUUGUUUUAGUCCAUAUAGAGCUUUGUGUAAUUGAUAAACCUUUCCUUCACUGCCCUUCUUCUCAUACCCCUUUGGUUGUUCAACAAAAACAUUAUCGCUGAGUUUACCAUGUAAAAAUGCGGACUUGACAUCCAAUUGAUAGAUUUUCCAUUUUCUUUGAGCUGCUAGUGCCACAAUCAUUCGUACUGUGUCCAUCCUUGCUACUGGGGCAAAUACUUCGGUGUAAUCCACUCCAUAUUGUUGAGAGUAACCCUUUGCUACUAAUCGGGCUUUAUAUUUGUCUACCUCCCCAAGCUCAUUCAAUUUAGUUUUGUAAAGCCAUUUGACUCCAAUUUUCUUGGCUCCGGCUGGUAGGUCUGUAAGUGUCCAGGUCUGAUUUUUCUCAAUUGAAUUGAUCUCUGAAUCCAUUGCUUUUCUCCACCUUGAGCUUGCUACUGCAUCUUCAUAGUUUAUAGGGUCUGCACCUUGCAUUACAGUCAUGUUGAUCUCAUUUUCUUCUUCAUAACGUUGAUGGCUGCAGACAUAGUCUGACAUCCAUCUCGGUUUUUGUUGAAGUCUGCUACUACUUCUUGUUAUGGAUCCUUCUGCAAUUGAUGUGUCACUCACCAUAAUGCCCUCAGCUGCAUUUGACGUGUCAUUCCUCAACUCAGCUUCUGCAGCUGUGACUACAUCUUCAUCCCCAAUCACUGCUGCAUCUGCAGCAGCUUCUGCUUCCCCUGUCACUGCAACUUCAUUUCCUGUUAUUGCAUCAUUGUUGGUGUCACUAGCCAUCAAAUCUUCAUCCACUGCAUCACUCUCAGCUGAUCCACCAUCACUGUCAUUUGCUCCACUGUCUGAAUUUUCUUCUUCAUCAAUUUCCACUUCAUCAAUGUCUCCCCACUCAAGGCUUUGCUGUAUUUGAUCCUCAUAGCUUGCAUCCCAAUUCCACCUCUUUCCUUCUUCAAAUAUAACGUCCCUACUGAUAAUUAUUUUCUGUGCAAUUGGAUCAUAGAGCCUGUAUCCCUUGGAUUCUUCACUGACACCCAAUAAUACACAUGUAAAGCUUCUGUUAUCCAGCUUGAUACGUUUGGCUUCAGGCACAUGCACAUGUGCCAAGCAACCGAAAAUUCUGAAAUGCUCCACAGAAGGUUUUGCACCUGUCCAUGCUUCUUCUGGAGUGGUAUCUUUGACUGCUAAUGUGGGACAUCGAUUCAGCACAUAAACUGACCAUUGCACUGCCUCAGGCCAGAAAGAUUUUGGGAUUUUCUUUUCUGAGAGCAUUGCCCGAACCAUGUUCAUCACCGUACGAUUUUUCCUCUCAGCCACUCCAUUUUGUUGUGGAGUGCAUGUUGUGGUCAGUUGGCGUCUUAUUCCAUUAUGUCUACAGAAUUCUUUAAAUUCAUUUGAAUUGAACUCCCCCCCUCUAUCCGUACGUAGACAUUUAAUAAAUUUCCCAGUAUCCUUUUCUACCAUCUUCUUAAAGCAUUGAAAGACAUAUAAUGAUUCUGAUUUUUCUGUCAGAAAAUAUACCCAUGCUUUUCUACAGAAAUCAUCAAUGAAGCAUAGAAAAUACCUCUUCUUGCUAUUAGAAAUGGGGGUCACUGGACCACAAAUAUCAGCAUGCACAAGCUGUAAUUUUUCGGUGGCUCUCCAUGUGCUCUUCUUUGGGAUGCUGUUGCGAUGUUGUUUUCCAAUUAGACAGUCAGUGCAAGUCUCUGUGGUAGGUGUUAGCUUUGGCAUUCCUCGAACCAUAUUCUUGUUCUGUAAGAUCUCCAGACCCCGAUGGCUCAAAUGGCCAUACCUACUAUGCCAUAGCUGGGUGACAUUUGAUGUUGGUGAAUUUGUGAGAAAACAGGCAUCAUUUCUCUCUUGCGUGUUUGCCAACAGUAUGAACAUUUUAUUUGCAGACAUGCUGGUUUGAAUGAUCAUGCCCCUCUUCGGGUGAUAAAUCUUGCACAUCCCUGCGUGAAAUAAAAAUGCAAGUCCCUUCUCCUGCAUUUGUCCCACACUCAGCAGGUUGUUGUGUAAUUCUGGAACAUAAAACACAUCAGUGAUGAUGUGAUUCAUGCCAUUCAAUUUAAGUGUAAUUUUUCCUUUCCCUUCCACAGAAAUUCUGGUGUUGUUACCAAGUUUGACUUGCUGCUUAAAUCCUCUGUUCAAUUCACUGAAUUUUUCUGCAUCUCCGCUCAUGUGGUUUGAACAACCAGAGUCCAAGAACCAAACAUCUCCACGCUUUGCUUCAUUCAUCUCCACCAAAGACAUUAGCAGCAAUUCUUCAUCUGCUUCAACAUAAUUAGCCUCCCAAUUUGGACAUUCAUAUUUAUAGUGCCCGAGCUUGUGGCAUCUAUAACACUCUAUUAUAGCUUUGUUAAUAAAUCCACGUCCUCUCCCGUAUCCUCUUCCUCUAUAUGUAUUCCUGCUACGUCCUCCUCUGCCUUGUCCCUCAUCAAAUGUAACUUUCAAGGCUUGAUCUUCACUGUUAGUCCUUCGAAACUUCUGUUCGUGCACAAUCAAUGAGCUUUGUAGCUCAUCCAUAGAAAGGAGAUCAAUGUCUUUGGAUUCCUCUAUGGAACAGACAAUAUAAUUGAAUUUGUCUGUGAGAGUGCGUAAAAUCUUUUCUACAAUCUUCACAUCUUGCAUAUCUUCUCCAUAAUUGCGCAUAUCAUUUGCCACCAUCAUGACUCUGGAGAAAUAAUCAGUGACUGAUUCACCAAUCUUCAUUUCUAGCACCUCAAAAUCUCUGCGAAGUGCCUGAAGUUGAGCACGCUUGACUCUCGUAUUCCCUUGAUAUUUUGUUUUCAUUGAUUCCCACAGCUGCUUGGAAGUGUCUUUCUGCAGAAUAGUCUUCAAGAUUGACUUGUCGAUUGACUGGAAAAGGUAGUUUUUAACCUUUAGAUCCUUGAGUUUGCAGUCCUCAAGGUGUCUCUUUUGUGCAGCAGUCAAUGUUUCUCCUUCAUCAGGUUCUGUAAAUCCAGUUUCAAUGCAGCUCCAGUAUUCUUUUGAUCUCAGAAGAUUCUCCAUCAAUAGGCUCCAGUGAUCAUAGUCCCCAUUGAACCUAGGAAUGCUCAAAAAAUUUUGCCCUUCAGCAGCCAUUUCUCAGUUCACUCUUUACUCUUUUUCUCUCGGUGGUUCUCACAAUCUUCUCACAGUGUUUCUCUCUUCUCACUCUGUUUCUCUUCUCUCAGUUCACUCUAAUACUUCACUCUUUUCUCUUGGUGUUUCUCACAAUCUCCUCACAGUGUUUCUCUCUUUUAGGAUACUGCUGUUCCUAAACUCUCUCACUCAGAAUUCUCUCAACCUGGCUCUGAUACCACUUUGUUACACUUAAUGAACAAGAAUAGCAGCUUGCUUAAAGUGUGCACAAAAUGAUUAAGGUUGCUUUGUUAUUGAAUGAUAAGUGUGGCUCAUUAUAUAGCCUUACAAUGGUAACGGGAAACAAAUAAAGUGCAGUAUUAUGAGGAAUCUCACAAUAUCAGGUAACAAUAUUCCUAGAGACUAGGACAACUCUAUAGACUAGGAGUUUUAUUCUAACAGAAAAGACUUGGUAAACAUCUUAAUUUAAGCAACCAGCUUCAUCAG
rnacentral:lncRNA from 1 species